rnacentral:rRNA from 1 species
GUGGGGAAUCUUCCGCAAUGGACGAAAGUCUGACGGAGCAACGCCGCGUGAGUGAUGAAGGUCUUCGGAUUGUAAAGCUCUGUUAAUCGGGACGAAAGAGCCUAGUGUGAAUAAUGCUAGGAAGUGACGGUACCGGAAUAGAAAGCCACGGCUAACUACGUGCCAGCAGCCGCGGUAAUACGUAGGUGGCAAGCGUUGUCCGGAAUUAUUGGGCGUAAAGCGCGCGCAGGCGGAUCUGCCAGUCUGUCUUAAAAGUUCGGGGCUUAACCCCGUGAUGGGAUGGAAACUACAGAUCUAGAGUAUCGGAGAGGAAAGUGGAAUUCCUAGUGUAUCGGUGAAAUGCGUAGAUAUUAGGAAGAACACCAGUGGCGAAGGCGACUUUCUGGACGAAAACUGACGCUGAGGCGCGAAAGCCAGGGGAGCGAACGGGAUUAGAAACCCCUGUAGUCC